UACGGGGGGGGCAAGCGUUGUUCGGAAUUACUGGGCGUAAAGGGCGCGUAGGCGGUUGGAUAAGUCAGCUGUGAAAACCACGGGCUUAACUCGUGGCCUGCAGUUGAGACUGUCUGGCUUGAGUGUGGGAGAGGAGACUGGAAUUCACGGUGUAGCGGUGAAAUGCGUAGAUAUCGUGAGGAACACCAAUGGCGAAGGCAGGUCUCUGGACAAUUUCUGACGCUCAUGCACGAAAGCCAGGGGAGCAAACGGG
rnacentral:rRNA from 1 species